CGUUGGUAGGUAGUUAGUACGUCGUCGCUACGAGGACGACGCGGGCGGCGUGUACUUAACACAUGACAAGGUACGAACGGUGACGAGGAGCUUGCUCCUCUGAUCAGUGGGCGAACGGGUGAGUAACACGUGAGCAACCUGCCCCAGACUCUGGGAUAACAGUUGGAAACAGCUGCUAAUACCGGAUACGAGACGGAGAGGCAUCUCUACCGUCUGGAAAGUUUUUCGGUCUGGGAUGGACUCGCGGCCUAUCAGCUAGUUGGUGAGGUAAUGGCUCACCAAGGCGACGACGGGUAGCCGGCCUGAGAGGGCGACCGGCCACACUGGGACUGAGACACGGCCCAGACUCCUACGGGAGGCAGCAGUGGGGAAUAUUGCACAAUGGGCGAAAGCCUGAUGCAGCGACGCCGCGUGAGGGAUGAAGGCCUUCGGGUUGUAAACCUCUUUCAGCAGGGAAGAAGCGAAAGUGACGGUACCUGCAGAAGAAGCACCGGCUAACUACGUG
rnacentral:rRNA from 1 species